CUUAUCAAGAGCGGUGGAGGGAACGGCCCUGUGAAGCCCGGCAACCUGCGGUAAAGCAAGGUGCCAAAUCCGGCGGUGAAACGAAAGAUGAG
rnacentral:ncRNA from 1 species